ACAACCCACACGCACGCACGUCCCAACUCCCAACUCCCACCCCGGUCCACCAGACCCCUCGCUAUCGAUCCCGUGUCUUGCAGAGAGGAAUCACCGCCGCCGGCCUCCUCCCAGAUUGGAGCGGUGGAUCUGCAUCUCUUCUCUUCAUCACCGAGUCCAUGAGGUGCUCGAUGUGGCAGGGGCGACGAACAGGAGUGCCGCAUCAAUAGCAGCGACGAACGACGGCCCAGGUAAUGCCAUCUCCUUACCCUCGCUCCACCGCAUCUUCUCACGCCAAUCAGUGGAUAUGCAACUGCGGCCCAGACUUGGUGGCCGAGCAGCAGCGACCUCGACGCGGCGCAUGCGUGGUAGCUGAUGCACGACACAGCGACCGCGACCAGGACGCGGUGGCGGGAGAACGACGACGGCUGACAAGACCUGGCGUGACGGCCAUGAAGAUAUCGACUCCGACGACUCGCCUCCGUUCAACAGCGCCCUGCUUUUCCGCAUCGCCUCCGUCAAGCAUCACCUUCUUUUCCGCGCGCACAGCACCUCGGUCACUAGUAAACCGCUGUAUCUCUGUACUCUGUUGGCGGUCUGGAUUUAGGAGCUCUGGGAUUUGGAGAAUGCACGGGCUGGAGCUGGGGAAUAGCUCGGGCUUCCUUCAGAAGACGAUAGGUCGUGUUUGGAUUUUUUUUCGAAGAAUUAAUUUGAUUUGGAUGAGACUAAUCAGUACGUCAUGUGGGCCUCCAAUCGAAAUUUGUGGUGGGAACUUUCCUUCCAUUCAUCUUCUAAUCAGAUUUUGAUAUUUGUGCCAUUGAUUUGAGUGCUGAUGAAGAGCUUUCUAUGGACGAAGAGUCAACAAUGCAUUGGCAUUUUCCAAGUCCAUUCCCUGCUUUUAACUAUUCAACUUUCUUCUCUUUUUUUGGAGAACUAACUUCUUUUCUUUGUGAAAAAACUAUUCACGAAUCAGAAUCAUCGAAUUCACGAACUGCUCAUCGAAUUCACGACCUGCUCAUCGAAUUCACCCCACCGAACUCGAUUCGUAGGCACUACCGAAUCGCAAAUCCCAAACCCGAAUUAGUGGACUACGAAUCCGGUAACUAUGGCAGGGACUGGCAAGUGGCAACAUACGCCUGGUGGCGUAAAGGACGACGGGUGGUGGUAGGGCUAUGGGCGGAGCCGGUAAACGGAGGAGGUUGCCUGUGGAAACCUGGCAUGUGGCGGCAUAAAGGCGUAAAGGACGACGGGUGGUGGUAGUGCUAUGGGAGGAGCAGGUAGGGGUAUGGCGGCAUAAAGGUUGUGUAGAAAUCACUCAAGUCUGCUUUUUUAUUGUGGAAGCUCGUUGUAUGUGUAAAAUUAUUUAUACUCUUGGUCCCGGCGCACGGAGCCUACAAGACGCCGAAUGUUCCUGCUGCUGCUUACCAAGCAGGAAAACACCAGAAUAAGUUCAACUUGGGGAAGAGCAUGAAGAUUGGCGAGAGGUGGGGUACCAGAAAGAGGCGACGUUAAAAUCGGUGCCAGUGACGACGACGGUGGACAUGAUGAGCUUGGCGACAGCGGCUGCCGCAACAUUGUUGUACUUGGAUCCCAUGCUAUCCGAGCUCGACAAUGCCAAUAGCUCAGUCCUUUUGCGUGUUCAUUGACAAGUUGUCCGUACAGUACCUUUGCGUCAACAACCACGACCAUGAUGACGGAGUCGUGCUGGCCGACUGCCCUGCUUCCAUGCGCCGAGCAGUCUACUGGUUUGAGAUGACCGUGAGGACUGCUGGGCUCAAGGGGUUGAAUUGGGUUCACCACAUGUAGGGUGGCAACCUGGGUCAGCUAACUUUUGUUGGCCCUUUCUGCUAUUUGGUAUCUCUAGCCUGGUUUUAGUGCUCUGACAGCACUUAGCAAUGCUAAACUUGAGACCAAAAGGAGUUGUAAGAAGUGUUCCUUAGAAAUUGUACACUAAACUGCUUGCACGUUUUCAUGCAUGUUGGCACUCAUCUUGGAGCACAAUUAAAUGGAAAUCAAUAGCAAAAAUACAAUCUGCAUAGUGGUAAUCUAA